UUAGAUAGGUUGAUUGAAAACCUUGCUGAUCCGAACUGAAAUCCGGAUAAGUUAACGAAAAAACCAGUCAAAAAAUUAACUUGAAAAAACGCAGUCAAUCCCGGGACCGAUCGACCCGAGUAAAUCCGGACCAGACUAUUAUAUAUAUAUAAACAACGUCGUUUUUGGCUUUAGCAGAAAACCUAAAUCCCCGCCUGUCUUCGAAGUUCACAGCAGCCAUAUCAGUUGCAGAGCAAUUUAAGCCACACGCAAGCCAUACCAGAUCCAGUAAUAAACCAAAAGAAGAAAUAAAGCCCUCACUCUUGAAGAUCUGGAAUGGCUGAGUUAGGGCAACAAACUGUGGAAUUCUCAAUUCUCGUGAUUCGAGCUGCCGAGGCUUCAUUUCUUUCUUUGAAAGAAUGGGUGGACAAAUCCAAAUCCACCCACAACCUGAUUCUGACAAGAAGAUUAGUCUUUUGAAGUACUGGGUUCACACUCAACAGCGCAUGCUUAGACUCAAUGUCCUUGCUAAAUGGUGCCAACAGGUCAAGAAGAUUUUUUUUUUUUGAUUGGUUG